GACGAACGCUGGCGGCGUGCCUAAUACAUGCAAGUCGAGCGGAUGACAGAGGAGCUUGCUCCUCCUGAUUCAGCGGCGGACGGGUGAGCAACACGUGGGCAACCUGCCCUGUAGAUUGGGAUAACUCCGGGGAACCGGGGCUAAUACCGAAUAAUCCUUCGGACCUCAUGGUCCGAUGUUGAAAGGCGGCUUCGGCUGUCACUACAGGAUGGGCCCGCGGCGCAUUAGCUAGUUGGUGAGGUAACGGCUCACCAAGGCGACGAUGCGUAGCCGACCUGAGAGGGUGAUCGGCCACACUGGGACUGAGACACGGCCCAGACUCCUACGGGAGGCAGCAGUAGGGAAUCUUCCACAAUGGACGAAAGUCUGAUGGAGCAACGCCGCGUGAGUGAAGAAGGUUCUCGGAUCGUAAAACUCUGUUGUGAGGGAAGAACAAGUACCGGAGUAACUGCCGGUACCUUGACGGUACCUCAUUAGAAAGCCACGGCUAACUACGUGCCAGCAGCCGCAGUAA
rnacentral:rRNA from 1 species